CUACGGGGGGCUCCAGUGGGGAAUAUUGGACAAUGGGGGAAACCCUGAUCCAGCAAUGCCGCGUGUGUGAAGAAGGCCUGCGGGUUGUAAAGCACUUUCAGCGAGGAGGAAAGGGAUGCUGCUAAUAUCAGCGUCCUGUGACGUUACUCGCAGAAGAAGCACCGGCUAGACUCCGUGCCAGCAGCCGCGGUAAUACGGAGGGUGCAAGCGUUAAUCGGAAUUACUGGGCGUAAAGCGUGCGUAGGCGGCCUUUUAAGUUGGAUGUGAAAGCCCCGGGCUCAACCUGGGAACGGCAUCCAAAACUGGGAGGCUCGAGUGCGGAAGAGGAGUGUGGAAUUUCCUGUGUAGCGGUGAAAUGCGUAGAUAUAGGAAGGAACACCAGUGGCGAAGGCGACACUCUGGUCUGACACUGACGCUGAGGUACGAAAGCGUGGGGAGCAAACAGGAUUAGAUACCCCGGUAGUC
rnacentral:rRNA from 1 species